rnacentral:rRNA from 1 species
UACGGAGGGUGCAAGCGUUAAUCGGAACUACUGGGCGUAAAGCGUGCGCAGGCGGUUUGUUAAGUCCGCUGUGAAAUCCCCGAGCUCAACUUGGGAAUUGCAGUGGAUACUGGCAAGCUGGAGUAUGGUAGAGGAAGGUGGAAUUCCCGGUGUAGCAGUGAAAUGCGUAGAGAUCGGGAGGAACACCAGUGGCGAAGGCGGCCUUCUGGACCAAUACUGACGCUCAUGCACGAAAGCGUGGGGAGCAAACAGG